UACGAAGGGGCGAGCGUUGUUCGGAAUUACUGGGCGUAAAGCGCGCGUAGGCGGCUUUGCAAGUCGAGUGUGAAAUCCCCAGGCUCAACCUGGGAACUGCAUUCGAGACUGCAUAGCUAGAGUAUGGGAGAGGGAAGUGGAAUUUCAGGUGUAGCGGUGAAAUGCGUAGAUAUCUGAAGGAACAUCAGUGGCGAAAGCGAACUUCCUGGACCAAUACUGACGCUCAUGUGCGAAAGCGUGGGGAGCAAACAGG
rnacentral:rRNA from 1 species